AACGAACGCUGGCGGCAUGCCUAACACAUGCAAGUCGAACGAGACCUUCGGGUCUAGUGGCGCACGGGUGCGUAACGCGUGGGAACCUGCCCUUAGGUUCGGAAUAACUCCCCGAAAGGGGUGCUAAUACCGGAUAAUGUCUUCGGACCAAAGAUUUAUCGCCUUUGGAUGGGCCCGCGUUGGAUUAGCUGGUUGGUAGGGUAAAAGCCUACCAAGGCGACGAUCCAUAGCUGGUCUGAGAGGAUGAUCAGCCACACUGGGACUGAGACACGGCCCAGACUCCUACGGGAGGCAGCAGUGGGGAAUAUUGGACAAUGGGCGAAAGCCUGAUCCAGCAAUGCCGCGUGAGUGAUGAAGGCCUUAGAGUUGUAAAGCUCUUUUACCCGGGAUGAUAAUGACAGUACCGGGAGAAUAAGCUCCGGCUAACUCCGUG
rnacentral:rRNA from 1 species